UACAGGGGGGGCAAGCGUUGUCCGGAAUUACUGGGCGUAAAGGGCCAGUAGGCGGCCAACUAAGUCCGACGUGAAAUCCCCAAGCUUAACUUGGGAACUGCGUCGGAUACUGGAUGGCUUGAAUUCGGGAGAGGGAUGCAGAAUUCCAGGUGUAGCGGUGAAAUGCGUAGAUAUCGGGAGGAACACCUGUGGCGAAAGCGGCUCACUGGACCACUACUGACGCUGAUGCGCGAAAGCUAGGGGAGCAAACAGG
rnacentral:rRNA from 1 species